rnacentral:rRNA from 1 species
UACGGAGGGGGCUAGCGUUGUUCGGAAUUACUGGGCGUAAAGCGCUCGUAGGCGGAUUGGUCAGUCAGAGGUGAAAAGCCCAGGGCUCAACCUGGAACUGCCUUUGAUACUGCCAGUCUAGAGUUCGGGAGAGGUGAGCGGAAUUCCGAGUGUAGAGGUGAAAUUCGUAGAUAUUCGGAGGAACACCAGAGGCGAAGGCGGCUCACUGGACCGAUACUGACGCUGAGGAGCGAAAGCGUGGGGAGCAAACAGGAUUAGAUACCCGGGUAGUCC